ensembl:lncRNA
CCGGGACAGGUAACCCGGGACAGGUAAUGACACACCUGGGACAGGUAUGGACACACCUGGGACAGGUAAUGACACACCUGGGACAGGUAAUGACACAGCUGGGACAGGUAAUGACACACCUGUACAGGUAACGACACACCUGUACAGGUAAGGACACACCUGCACAGGUGACACAGCUGGGACAGGUAAUGACACACCUGGGACAGGUAACAACACAUCUGGGACAGGUAAUGACACACCUGGGACAGGUAACGACACACCUGGACAGGUGACACAGGUGGGGACACCCAGGGGAGAAGGGCCCAGGUGAUUCCCAAGAGUGCCCAGGUGCCCCCAGGUAUCCCCAGGCCCCCCCCAGGUGUCCCCAGGUGCCCCCUGACCUCCCUGCCGGGGCCGCGCCACGAGGACGCGCCCGAAGGAGCCGCGGCCGAGCUCCCCCAGCACCUCCCAGUCCCGGCACAGCUCCCGGCGCGACAGCGCCUGCGCGGCGCGUACCAUCAGCACCUGCGGGGGGNNNNNNNNNNGGGGGGGAGACAGGGCAUCAGCGCCUGCGCGGCGCGCACCAUCAGCACCUGCAGGGGGGAACGGGGAACCGCGCCUGCGUGGCGCGCACCAUCAGCACCUGCGGGGGGGGGAAAGGGGCAUCAGCGCCUGCGCGGCGCGCACCAUCAGCACCUGCGGGGGGGACAGGGCAUCAGCGCCUGCGCGGCGCGUACCAUCAGCACCUGCGGGGGGGGAAAGGGGCAUCGGGCCCUGGCGCGGGCGCGGGGGGGGGGCGACAUGGACCGGUAUAAACCAGUAUGGACCAGUAUAAACCAGUAUGGACCAGUAUAACCAGUAUGGACCAGUAUGGACCGGUAUGGACCAGUAAAACCAGUAUGGACCAGUACGGACCAGUAUGGACCAGUAUGGAAGGUAUAACCAGUAUGGACCAGUAUGGACCGGUAUAAACUAGUAUAACCAGUAUAGACCAGUAUAGACCAGUAUGGACCAGUGGACCAGUAUGGACCAGUAUGGACCGGUAUAACCAGUAUGGACCAGUAUGAACCAGUAUAACCAGUAUGGACCAGUAUAGACCAGUAUGGACCAGUAUAACCAGUAUGGACUGGUAUAAACAAGUACGGACCGGUAUGGACCGGUAUGGACCAGUAUAAACCAAUAUGGACUGGUAUGGACCAGUACAGACCAGUACAAACCAGUACAAACCUGCAGGAGCCGCUCCUGAGCCUGCGCCACCGACUCCUCAUCCUCAUCCUCGUCACCUUCAUCGUCAGCGGCCUCCCAGGGGAUUUUCAUGAUCUGCACCAGUACAAACCAGUACAAACCAGUACGGACCAGUAUGAACCAGUAUAAUCCAGUAUGGACCAGUAUAAACCAGUACAAACCAGUACAAACCAGUACAGACCUGCAGGAUGCGCUCCUGAACCCGCGCCAAUGAGUUCUCAUCAUCAUCGUCACCAUCAUCAUCACGGGCCUCGGAGGGAGCGUCCGCGGCCUGCACCAGUAUAAACCAGUAUGAACCAGUAUAAACCAGUAUGGACCAGUAUAAACCAGCACGGACCUGCAGGGGGCGCUCCUGAGCCACCAGCUGCUCUUCAUCAUCGUCACCUUCCUCUGAGGGGGCGUCCAUGAUCUGCACCAGUAUAAACCAGUACGGACCAGUAUGGACCAGUACAGACCAGUAUGGACCAGUACGGACCAGUAUGGACCGGUAUGGACCAGUACAAACCAGUAUGGACCAGUACGGACCAGUACGGACCAGUAUAAACCAGUAUGGACCAGUAUGAACCAGUAUAAACCAGUACGGACCAGUACAGACCGGUACAGACCAAUA